CAGAGUGAAUAUUUCUACAUUGUUCUUUGCAUCACCAGCCACUACUAUGGAGGCAUUAUUGGCAAGUGGAAUGAGAACAAGAAGAGAUCCAAGGCUGAAUUCUGCAGUUUUUGGCUUCAUUCCAACUUGAAUUUAUAUAUGCAAACUGGCCACAAAAGUCCUGGCUUUCUUCAAAGCUGCAACCUAACGAGGGCAGAGUACCUGAAGUUCAAAUUCUCAGUUGCUGAAAUACAAGUGGAAGCCCUAUUCUAAGAGUUUGCCAAUGCAAUCUAAGAUAUUGGUAUGAUUUGGUUGCCC
rnacentral:lncRNA from 1 species